rnacentral:rRNA from 1 species
GUGGGGAAUAUUGGACAAUGGGCGCAAGCCUGAUCUAGCCAUGCCGCGUGGACGAUGAAGGCCUUAGGGUUGUAAAGUCCUUUCGCUGGGGAAGAUAAUGACUGUACCCAGUAAAGAAGCCCCGGCUAACUCCGUGCCAGCAGCCGCGGUAAUACGGAGGGGGCUAGCGUUGUUCGGAAUUACUGGGCGUAAAGGGCGCGUAGGCGGAUUGGAAAGUUGGGGGUGAAAUCACGGGGCUCAACCUCGGAACUGCCUUCAAAAGUCCCAGGCUAGAGUUCGAGAGAGGUGAGUGGAAUUCCGAGUGUAGAGGUGAAAUUCGUAGAUAUUCGGAGGAACACCAGUGGCGAAGGCGGCUCACUGGCUCGAUACUGACGCUGAGGUGCGAAAGCGUGGGGAGCAAACAGGAUUAGAAACCCUAGUAGUCC